rnacentral:lncRNA from 1 species
ACAUUCCAUCUUUUAUGAUAAAAAUUAUUUCACAUAAUUUAAAUAUGCUUUAUAGCCUUUUAGCAUAAGUGAUACAUUUUUUUCCUUAUAACAGCACUUCAAUUUUAUUUUGGAGUAAAACAGCUUCUGAGAGAAGAAAAUCUACAAAUAUUCUCUUACUAUCAGUUUGAAGUUAAACCAAGGACUAUACAAAAACAACUUUUUUUUUUUUAACUAAAUGAGAAGUUAUUUACCCAUUUCUAUCACCUGAUGUUAGUACAGGAGAAUUUUUGCAAAGCUUUAAUGAUUCAGAAACAAAUAGCAAAAAAAAAAAAUUAAAAUCUUUGAUUCUGAAAAGGUAAAUUUUUAGGUGCUGCAAAUUUCUCAAAAUUAUCUACGUAUUAGGUUGCACUGAAAUAUUUAUGUGUGUUAAGUUAUAUUGAGAUAUUUAGAUGCUCGUGUUACUACUGAGGAAUAUCUGUUCACAUUUAUUUAUAUUACAUUGACAAAAUAGCAGUCCUAUAAUUCAAGAAAACACUAAAUUUCAAAAGUUUGGAUAAAUAUAAAAAUGCAUUUUGAGCUCUGCUGGUUUAAGCA